UAAUUUUGUUUCUGUUCUGGUUAUAAAAAUAAAGUCGUUUUUAUUAUCAAAUUAUUAAUUUUACUCAAAAUAUUUGUUAAUACAAUCAAUUAAACAAAGUUUCAAUUAAAUGUCUUUGUACUGCAUUACCAGCUUGUCGAACAGGCAAUACUGGAACUUGAUCCAACAUAUCAGCAAAUCAUGACAAACCUGAAAAGCACCUGUAGCAUAAUAUCUCAGGGCUAUCAAAAGCUGUAAUAUUGGUGACAAUGACACAUUUCGUAAUGUAUUUUGAGUAAUAUUGUUGCUUAUCAUGUCAAGUAGAUCCAUGAACAUAAGUUUAGACAAUCUAAUAAACACAGGAAUAUAAUGUACCUGAAUCUUUGUUUAAAAUCUACAUCAUCAUAAUCUGUCAGUGGAUUAGACCUGUCACGAAAAAAUCGUGGUCUUGGUAGCAAUUGUAAAACAUCAAUAAUAAAUAAUUCAUCAUCACUAGAUGAAGACGAAGCCGACAAAUCCAUUUUUAAAUGAAUUUCUUUUUAAAAAGAAACAACGAAAAUAUUUAAUUAUUGAGUCUAAACAAAUAAUUAAGCAAUUAAA